AACGUAGGUGGCAAGCGUUAUCCGGAUUUACUGGGCGUAAAGCAUGUGCAGACGGGUUGGUAAGUGGUGUAUGAAAGCGUCCGGCUUAACCGGGCAAGCGUAGGCCAGACUGCCAGUCUUGAGAGUGGGAGAGGGAUGUGGAAUUCCCGGUGUAGUGGUGAAAUGCGUAGAUAUCGGGAGGAACACCAGUGGCGAAGGCGACUACCUGGCCUGUUCUUGACGCUGAGGCGCGAAAGCUAGGGGAGCAAACGGG
rnacentral:rRNA from 1 species